UGGGGAAUAUUGCACAAUGGGCGAAAGCCUGAUGCAGCAACGCCGCGUGAGUGAUGAAGGCCUUCGGGUUGUAAAGCUCUGUCUUUUGGGACGAUAAUGACGGUACCAAAGGAGGAAGCCACGGCUAACUACGUGCCAGCAGCCGCGGUAAUACGUAGGUGGCAAGCGUUGUCCGGAUUUACUGGGCGUAAAGGAUGCGUAGGCGGAUUUUUAAGUGAGAUGUGAAAUACCCGGGCUUGACUUGGGUGCUGCAUUUCAAACUGGGAAUCUAGAGUGCGGGAGAGGAGAAUGGAAUUCCUAGUGUAGCGGUGAAAUGCGUAGAGAUUAGGAAGAACACCAGUGGCGAAGGCGAUUCUCUGGACCGUAACUGACGCUGAGGCAUGAAAGCGUGGGUAGCAAACAGGAUUAGAUACCCUGGUAGUCCACGCCGUAAACGAUGAGUACUAGGUGUAGGAGGUAUCGACCCCUUCUGUGCCGCAGUUAACACAAUAAGUACUCCGCCUGGGAAGUACGAUCGCAAGAUUAAAAGCUCAAAUGAAUUGACGGGGUC
rnacentral:rRNA from 1 species